AUCGUCUAAAGAUGCUAAUUUGAAAGAAAAGAAAGAGGAAAGGGUACUUAAAUGGAAUCUUCACUCUCAAAUUUUGUUCAGGGUGUGUGGGGAGGCAUGUAUUUUUGGGUCCUAGACUUCUAGUUUGUAGAAUUUUGAUAGCUCAUAAACAGGAGUUGGCAAGUAACGCAGUCAAACUAGCCGACAAUGGCCAGGAUUGAUGUAUGGUUCUACAAAGAAGGUUUCGCAGUCAUUGCGAGUUCCUUUAACAUAAAAUUGAGCCCUGCCAAUUGAGCGUUGCAUUCUCAAGAGAGUAGCUCUUUGGCCUGUGUAGGUUUUCUCAGCAAAACCAUGCUUAUUUCUUUCUUUUUCUAUCUAAGCAGAAUACGCAAAACAUCACAUAUGUGCAAGGAUGUGUUUUUAACUACAAUGCUCAAUUAUGUUCAUAACCCUCCCAUCUGUAAAGUUAUGUGCUCCUGCAGGUCUCUUCUAUUUAUUCUUCCGUGCAGAAGAUGAACGAAUUAGACCAGCAAGAACAGAUGAUGCUCGGAGCAUCUUCUCUGGCGAAGUAGGUACCCACCAUAGCUUCUCUGGUUAGAUGCUCAAAUGGGUUCGCUGUGAUUUAGCCAUGCUCGGUCAUGUGUAUGGUCAUCUUCAUAGUUGUCCUGUAUAUGAUGAAUUCCAGAUCCAUUGUUCGAAGAGUCCUUGUGAAUAAUUGAAGCUGUAGCUGGGGUCUCUAGUCCUCUGGCCUCUGUUUUGGUUCUACUCGAUCUGAAAUGCUUGGAUGUAAAUAAUUUCUAGUUGGUGCUGUAUAUGGCUCACUCGUUGAGAUACCCAAAACAUAUUCGGGACUCAAGAGAUCAUUCAAUCUGUAAAUCAAUCUCUUAAAUAAGUUUUUGUGCGAUGUCAAA